rnacentral:lncRNA from 1 species
CCAGAUUGACUCAACAAGCAAGACUUCGUGUCUACCAUUAUUUUAUGUUAAUUACGGUCUGCUGUUAUUUUUACUACAGGACUCACGGUACUGAUAAGAUCCAGUGUUUUCCCAGUCCGGAUUGGAAUGCUUAAAUCUAGAAGAUUCCAGGGGGAGAAAACUCGGCCGAAAAUACUAGCCGUCGAGAGCAUCCACUACCGCUGACUUGCUCUGAAGGUGAAGAAGCUUCUGGAGGGAGCUCUGUGUCUCUUCACCCCGAGCCGCCUCUGACUCACAAACUGCUCCACUUUGCACCCUGUCCUGGUUGCCGCACAGAAACAAUUCUCACAGAGGCUGCCAGCAAGUUCCACGGGCUGCACUUCAGUGCCCCUUCCCCAGCGACACGCCCGCAACAUCUGGCUCCCCCGUCCCGCAGCCGCCCCACGCGCAUCGCCUUCCAUCCGCAGGUGUUCAAUCUGGAGUUCCCGCCUCAUCAUGCCCGGGGCCCCCUCUGCUCCCUCCUCCACCUCUGCCCCAAACCGACCCUGCGUGGGAUCAGUGUCAAGUGUGCCCUCCGUCCGGCGCCAGGUGCCACACAGCAACUUCCACGUGACCGACACUGAGCCCCAGAUCCUGCCCUCCCAGCAGCGACCAGCUCCACCCCCAGCCCCGUGAGCAUCCCCAGUGCCCCAGUCACCCAGGCGGGGGCCCUCAUCCUCGCACCCAAACCACCAGCAGGUCCAAGCAUUUUUCCACUAACUUCCUUUCAAUGCCCCAACCCCAGGCCUCUGCCAGUGGCCGAUGUCUCAUCCUCGGCACUCCUGAUGUUGCCAACACAAGCAGUAACCCUGGGCUCUUAACGUGCUCUGCAGCCAGAGCUCUUGGAAUGCGGCUGUAGUCACGUACCCCCCAAGCUGGGCCCUGCCCCCUCCAGGGCAUCUCACCCCCUCCCGACAAUGCCCCUGCCCCCCGCCCCCGCACUGAGAGCAACAGCUGGAGCCCUGAGCCCAUCCAAUGAGACGCUACCACCCAGGACCCACCCUGCCCUUCCCGUCACACUGGCCCUGCCAAUUUGGGCUCCAGGCGUGCAGCUCUGCUUCCUUCUAGCCUUAUUGAGGGUUUAUUGAUUUUAUAUAGUGACAGCAUGGAGUUUCUCCCUCAC